rnacentral:rRNA from 1 species
AUUGAACGCUGGCGGCAGGCCUAACACAUGCAAGUCGAGCGAGCGGUGGACGGGUGAGUAAUGUCUGGGAAACUGCCUGAUGGAGGGGGAUAACUACUGGAAACGGUAGCUAAUACCGCAUACCAUCAGAUGUGCCCAGAUGGGAUGAGCUAGUAGGUGGGGUAACGGCCCACCUAGGCGACGAUCCCUAGCUGGUCUGAGAGGAUGACCAGCAACACGGGAACGGAGACACGGUCCAGACUCCUACGUGAGGCAGCAGUGGGGAAUAUUGCACAAUGGGCGCUAGCCUGCUGCAGCCAUGGCGGGGGUGUGAAGAAGGCCUUCGGGUUGUAAAGCACUUUCAGCGGGGAGGCGUUACCCGCAGAAGAAGCACCGGCUAACUCCGUGCCAGCCGCCGCGGUAAUAC